CCUGUAAGCGACGAUGUUGUCUAUUUGAGUCACUUAGCAAUAACGAGUGGUGCAUAGAAAUGUAUUUAGCUAAACGUUAAAGUAAUGGGGAUCGUAUACUUUUAUAGAGAUCGAAACCAAAACACAGAUGCAAAUCCAAGUCGGGUCAAGUGUUAACUUAUCGGCUAUUCGAAUAGUCCAGUGGACAGUCCGAUGAGCAGUGGCGUGUUGUGGUAUAUGCUACGCUUGAGUAAGGCCACAGAAAAAGCAAAGCAAACGGACAAAUCAGCAGUAAGCCGAAGUAGACAAGAGGAUCCCUCGUUAGUUUCUUGCAUAAGAGUUUCCUUGCUAACUCUUGUUCGAAGUCCAUCGAUCAGUCGAGCCAAGUAAGCACCCCUGCUUGGCUCUGUCUCAAAAUUCAGCUUAUUACACCAGCAGCCCGACCAAACUCAGCAUCGUGAAAUCGCGUGGAACAAUUCAGCCGCGAAUGCAGGCACUCGCAUCUAAUGGUCUUGUGGGCGAAACGAGAAGGACCGAAAAAUUUAAAGGGGCUGAGCGCCGGAGAAGGAGGUAGCAAAAGAGAUUUGUAGAAGAAAUCAACGAGCAGAAGUCGUCUGCAAGUUUGCUUUUGCGACUCGACAAAUCGUAAAAUUUAUGGCAACUUUUUUCCAAGUCCCCACGACAAAAUGGGUGGGGGUGCGAGUUGUAGCUGUAAGGUUCAUAGUGGCACAAGAGCCUAUUGAGCCGAUGUUCGCGGGGUUUGUUGUCUCAUAGUCGUUUGGUCGUAGCUCAUGACAGAAGCGAAUACGCACUAAUUAAGUCGCAUGUCAGAGUCAUCAGAAUGGGCUCCACUGGGUUAUGACGGGCGGGUAUGCGCCCGUGUUUUUCCAGGAUAAGCCCGCCCCGUAUAACGCGGAUCGUCUCGAGCAAAGCUUACCAAAGACCUCUCACGUGACUUCGGCUUCUACAAGGCCAUGGCGAAGACAACCGCUGCGGCACGAAAACGGCUUAUGGCAUAUACAAAUCUUCGUGGGUAGAACUCACCAUAGGUGAAUGCCAAUUCACUCGUGCGGGGAAAUUUUGCAAUUCAGUUCAAUAAGUCCACGUCUAUGCGUCACAAACAACAUACUCGGCUUCCUCGGGCAUGGUGCAGGAACAGUGACCUUCGCGUAUAUGAUAUUGAUUUUCUUCCACGUUUAGCCGACGUCGAAAAGCGAUGACAUGUAAACAUCUGCCUCUCUGCAAGGGGGCUGAUAUGGGAUACGUGGUACAAUUCUAUACAUUUGUGCGGCGGGCCGCACGCUGAACGUAAGUGGAAUACAAAAAUA